AUUUUAUACUACAGAUCUAUGUGUAAAUGAUAUUUAACACAACAAGCUCAUAAGUAUUUUAAAUGAUCAUUUUGUAGUUUUUCUGCAAAGGGUUAUACUUGCUAAGGGGGAAUAUUUUUUAGUUAGACAGAUCAAAGGAAGUGCCAGGACCAAGGGCAACUGCCAUGGGAAAGCCAUCCUCAACAGCAAGCUGUGUUCCUGCAGGAGGACCUUCCCAUCUGGGCUAAAGAUAUACAGUUUGUCAUCUCAAAACCGGGAAGAAUGAUCUUUCUAUGGUGAGGUCUUCAGAAAAAGGGAGAGAGCAAACAGCAUCCAGGGCUGAUAGCCUGACACGGACGGACUUCUAGCAGCAGAGUGAGCACCUAGCAAGUCCCAACAGCCACGGGAAGAGGAAGGAGCCCGAGCUCUCGUGGUGACCCAGGGGGCGAACGCAGACAGCAGGGCCAGUAUUCGUUACCUCUUCGGUGCCCUUCCUACCAGCAGGGUCACGGCAAAUGCUCAGUAGUGCUGAAUUGUAGGAGGCUCGCACUAAGCCUGCGAGGGAGGGGCUGGUUUCACCCUACUUGGCAGGAAAGAAAGAGGCCCUGAAGGUGAAGUGACCUCUCCAUGGACAAACUGGACCCCUCCAGCUGGUAAAACUGGCACUUACGUCCAUUGCCCACGUCUGGUGGACACAAGGGUGUGCCGUUGUGAGUGGUGUCACAUCUGUAACUUGGCACCGCCUCUGAUUCGGUGGGAGUAUUUACACCAAGGAAAUCGGCAAACGUCACAGAUGAGGUUUUGUCUCUUCAGCACGCUGUGGAUGAGUCACCAUCCUCCAGAGAUAGAGCCUGAAAGAAACCUCUGCCUGCCUCCAGGGUCCACCCGCAAGCCUUCGCCAGCCUUCUCUUCUGGAGCCUCCUGAUGAGCUUGGCACACC